rnacentral:rRNA from 1 species
CGGUGGAGCAUGUGGUUUAAUUCGAAGCAACGCGAAGUAACCUUACCAGGUCUUGACAUCCCGAUGCUAUUUCUAGAGAUAGAAAGUUACUUCGGUACAUCGGUGACAGGUGGUGCAUGGUUGUCGUCAGCUCGUGUCGUGAGAUGUUGGGUUAAGUCCCGCAACGAGCGCAACCCCUAUUGUUAGUUGCCAUCAUUCAGUUGGGCACUCUAGCGAGACUGCCGGUAAUAAACCGGAGGAAGUGGGGAUGACGUCAAAUCAUCAUGCCCCUUAUGACCUGGGCUACACACGUGCUACAAUGGUUGGUACAACGAGUUGCGAGUCGGUGACGGCGAGCUAAUCUCUUAAAGCCAAUCUCAGUUCGGAUUGUAGGCUGCAACUCGCCUACAUGAAGUCGGAAUCGCUAGUAAUCGCGGAUCAACACGCCGCGGUGAAUACGUUCCCGGGCCUU